UACGAAGGGGGCUAGCGUUGUUCGGAAUACUGGGCGUAAAGCGUGCGCAGGCGGCUUCUCAAGUCAGGGGUGAAAGCCCAGAGCUCAACUCUGGAAUUGCCUUUGAGACUGAGUGGCUUGAGUACGAGAGAGGUGAGUGGAAUUCCCAGUGUAGAGGUGAAAUUCGUAGAUAUUGGGAAGAACACCGGUGGCGAAGGCGGCUCACUGGCUCGUAACUGACGCUCAUGCACGACAGCCGUGGGGAUCAAACAGG
rnacentral:rRNA from 1 species